rnacentral:pre_miRNA from 1 species
UCGAAAUGUACGCCGUUAACUUUUUAGCACAAGUUUGACCGUUCGUCUUAUUAAAAAAUUUAAGUAAUUAUUAAUUCUUUUCCUAUCAUUUGAUUCAUUGUUAAAUAUAUUUUUAUGUAGGCAUAUAAUUUUACAUAUUUUACAAAAGUUUUUGAAUAAGACGAACGGUCAAACAUGUGCUAAAAAGUCAAUGGUGUCAAAUAUU